UGCAUGAUGAGUAUUUGGGAUUUCUUGAGACGAUGAUGAUGACGUGCAGCCAGUAGGCAAGGUUGAUAGAUAUGCAUACACAGUCAUAAAAAGACUUUAUACGGAACGAAGUUUAGUCAGUCGUCUUCCUCGAUCAGUCCAAUUGCAUAAAUUGCAUGCAAUACGAAAAUAUACAUAAAUUUGGCUUGAACCCCUAGGUUUGUACGUUAAGGGUCGUGCAUCAAGGUUGUGAUAAAAUCAUGAUUUAAGUAGUUACUUACGUCAUACUGAGAUAUCGUGUCAAUCUAUUUACAUAUUAAUUAGUAAUUCUCGCUGGAAUGUACAUAUUUACAUAAAUAAGUACGUGUGAAUAACAUGCUUUAUGCACAACCGUAUCUCUUUUCCAUGCAUUAUUUAGCUCGUAAUUAAGGUUAAACUGACUUAAAUUUUGUUGCAUGUUUGACACUGAUUUCGUCUCUUCAUGGGCAAGGUUAAUCCUGUAACCAAGUGAACAUUUAACAUGCGUGUUGAGGUACUUGUACAUAAAUAUGUGUAGAUAUGUGUGUAAAGAAUACGUGUGUUCCUGUCUGUCUCACCGGAAACUUCAUUAAUCUCAUUACGAAAUUACCUCAUUUUUCUCAGUGUAGUAUGUACAUAAAUAAACCUCAUUUCCUCGUCCAGAAUAAUGCCUCAGUUCUUCAAGCUGUUAAAAAUCUUGUAAAUUCUGACUACUCAUUAAUGCAUAUGUGUGCAAACUCUAAGGUUAUUGUUGAGGGUUUCUCGGUAUUAAAGUUCCUACCGCUUGGUACUAAAAUUAUACAGGUCCGUAAAAAUUUGCUGUCGAUAUGGUAAAACUUUAAUGUCGAGCAAUUUGCUACGCGGUAUUACUUAUCAAUACCACUUAGUCAUGUAUGAAUACCGAUUGGUAUUAUUUUAAUACUGGAUUUCUAAUAGAUAGUGUAAUUAGCAUAAAAGUGCUACAUUAAGAAAGGCGUUUCCUUUCGGGUCAAUCCACCCUUAUAAAUAUAGGUAUUAUGUAGGUAAAUUCCCCGUCGACUGGAUCGUGGAGUUUAUUUUCUUAUCAAUUUCUUAUCAAUUUGCUCAUCAAUUUGAAUCUAUUUUUUGCAUAUUUGUCUCGGUUUAUGUACACACGCGUUGUAAAUGCGUAAAGCAUGUCAUCCAUUUUACAUGACUUAUCCCAUUCGCAUAUCAUCGCAUGCAAAUUUUAUCGGAGAGAUCAGAAUCCUGCUAAAAUCAAUCACACCCUUUAUGCGCGGUCCAUAACUAAACAAUAAAUGAGACCUGCUUGCUUCUAAUAAUUGCGAUUGCGAAAAAAUUGUUUUUUCCUCUUCAGUGGAAAAACUGUUUACACUAAACCACAAGUCAUGUGGACUAUAAAAUUGCCGGAAAUCUCCGCAAUUUCACACAACCUAUCACACUCCUUAUAAAUAAAUAUGUAAACUCAUAAUUUUCAGAAUCUUGUCAGACACUGAUACUCAUCUUUCUCUUCGCAAAUUGCGAUUCGCAAUUCGCAAUCCUCCCGCAAUGUGUAAACCCAAACCAAACCAAACCACCGACCGAAGUUUUACACACUUUGCCACUUAAAAGAUAUCCUUGGACUUCAAUUUAAAUAAAUUCCCCAUCCAAAACUCUUCUCACGCGUAUUAUGGAUUUGCGAAUACUGUAAAAUUCUACCCAUAACUUUUGUGCGCAUUCAUACGUCCAAGCUGCACAAAAAUUUCUCACUCGCAAAAAACUCUCUCACAUCAUUAAACAAACUUACGAAACAAACUGGUUUCCAGUCAGUCGCGACUUGCAUAUUGGACAUCUCCGCAUUUACGGAGGUGUACAAUCAAUAAUAAUAACAUAGAUACAUACAAGUAUAUAACUUGUUUCCUUUAUAUAAGUUAAAUAGCUGUGUUGUGAUUGCGAAUAUUUGUACCUGCAGCUGGAUUUGGAUUAGGGUACAAAAAUUUUAGUGGAAAUUAGUCAUUCAUAAUCGUAUUUUUAUAGAAGAGGGACGGAUAACAAGGAAAAAUCUGAUUUGCGUCGUCUGUGUACCUAAAGAAAAUGGGUGCACUCGAGUUUUUAGUGAUAUUUGAGGCCGUGGUGUACAUAAAGUUGAGUUUAAAAACGUUGUUAUAAGUUGAACAUAGUAAUAUCACAGUUAAAAGUGCAGAUAUUUAUAUAACUUUUAUGUCAGCUUGUUAAAAAAGUGACAUUAUAUUGACAUCGGUUCAAAUGUGAUUUUAUGAAACGUCCUCCCCCCACGAGUUUCUCGCAUGGAGCCCGACCGUUCCAAGGGAAGAACUGCGUUCAACGAGGAUUUCCUCCACAACUAUGCCGACCUUAUCAACCUAAUUUCCGGGAAGGAUGGUCGGCGCCCGGUGCGCGCCGUGUGUCCCAAUUGCACGUGCUUAGUGACCACGGAAAUUCGGUAUGAAGAGAAUGAACCCGCGUUACGAACCUGUAACCGAAUUUUUAUCGCUGGACUGAUCACUUUUUUUACCGUGACGAUCUCCAUCUGCACUUUUUUCGCCGUGUGGAUGGAAUCCUUACUUCUCUACGGAUUAAUCGGAGCCGGAUUAAUCGUCGCUUUUUGUCUGACAUUUCUCGUUGUAAAAAUUUAUGUCAAUGCGAGACUCGUUUAUGAUGAUGUGGUCCAUUUCUGUCCUCUUUGUAGAAAUCGGUUGGGGGUUAGGAAACCGAGGGGGUGUGUCGGGUGGUGGAGCGUGUAGUGGGAAAAUUGUGAUAGCCUGGUUUGCAUUGUAAGUCGGCGAGUUGAUUGCGGAAAAAUUUUGCGAAAAAGGGCCACUGAAAUUUCAUGGAUAAAUUUGCGAAAUCAAAUACACAGGUGCUUACGCACAGACUUCUGAGUUCUGAGAAACUUUUCAGAAUUUGGCUGGCAACUUUGGGAAAUUCAGCUAAAUAUGCAAAGUUGAAGAGCAAAUAUUGUAAUAAAGUGAUUAGCUCGACUGUUUGUAAAGCAAUAAAGUAUGUCUAUAAACAUACUAUAGUAAAUUUGCAAAAACUAAGAUUGUAAGUCAUUUCAAACUUCUCUCGGAAACUCCUAAAAGUUUGAAAAAAAAUUGACAAAAAAGAACAUUUUACUGGGUUACAUGUACAUGCAUACAUACAUACACGAGUUAAUUCUCACACAUUAUAAAACCUUACAUAAACUCAACUUCAAUUAAAUUGGGUGACAGCAUUUACAUAAAAUAAUAAUAAUUAUAUUAUUGUGUUCAAUUCCUUUGUGAUCUCAAUACCAGUAGUAUAAUUGAAAGGAUAUAAAUAACUGUUAAUUUUACGUUACCUUUGUAACACUACUGCAAGUAUUUUAUAUAUAAUAGUCCAGUUUUUUUGUAAAUUAAUAAAUAAAUGCGUACAAUUUAUAGAACGAAUUUAAAUUAAAAUCUUGUCAGAAUUUGAAUACAAAGUUUUAUUUGUGUCAAUCAAAAUUAAGUGGUUUCAUUUGGAUUAACAUUUAUACAUACGUAAAUCGUUUUUAUUAAUUAUGGCGAACUGUUUAACUCUGCCAAAAUUAACUGAUGAGAGAACUCACGUCAUACUUACAUAUGUAUGUAUGUACAAAAUCAUAUGAAUAUAUGUACAAAUGUAUAAUUUACAUCAUUUAAAUUCCCAUGAGUCCAAAUUUUUAUUUUAUAACACGCUUCUUUUAAAAUGUCAUCGAACUAAGCUUGCGAAGAGUGAACGUAUCGAUUUCUUUGGUAAAUUUUGGGAAAAAAUCUCAUAGUUUCUAAGUAAAAUUUUCGCAAACUCUUGCAUUAUUUUGAAGAAAAGUUACGUUUGUAUGUAUGUACGAGUGUAUGUAUAUGUAUGCACAUUAAUAUGUACAUAUGUUGAUAUGCUUAAUUUACGAGAUUUGUACACCCGUUUCACAAAAAUAUUAUUCCUGGCUCUCAUUUUAUUAGCGUAUUGUCCACAAAAUCAAUUAUCCCAUUGUUCUAAAUCAAGUCGUCGGAUAUGGCACAUUAAUUUUGAGAGACCCGUUAAAAUAUAGUUGACCUUGUUGUGCACAUAUGUAAGAUGGACUCCAGGGUAACCCAGAGUGGGAUGAACCAUGUUUUUACAUAUUUUACUAAGAUGCAAAGUCUUCGUGGUGUUAAAUAUGAUUUUCAUAAUGCAGAAUCAGUUAAGCAAUUCGAGGGAGGCUUCAAAAUCCGAAAUUUCGCAAAACUUAUCUAAUCAAUAUGCACAAUCUUCAUGAAACUAUAUUUAAAACAUUUCGUGAGAACCCUGCUUCGCGUUUUAAGGUCGAAUUGGAUCACCACCCGAAGAGAACGUGUCGCAUAAAUAGGUUUGUUUAACAUGCACAUAUAUUUGUACCAAAUUUUACACUAGCAUUGAACAACUCGCUCUUUUUGAUCGCUCAGGAACGUAAGUGAAUUUUUAGAACUUCAAAUUGUUAUCAUACAAAUUAUUAAUUCAAUUCAGAUCUUAAUUUUUUUUCUCAGCAUGAUGAACAAAUCCGUAUUUUUUGCCGUGCUCAUAAUAGCAUCCCUUAUCGGGGUCACUACCGCUAAUCCAGAUAGUGAACUGGACCUACUCGGACUUGACUCUGGUGCGAAGCAGGCUUACGAAUCAGGUAUGGAGGAGCAUCCGCGGUUUAGACGUCGCCAUCUUGGCCCCCGCGGCGGACGCUGUUGGUACAUAUACUGCCCACCCAAUCCCCCAACAAUGCAAGACUACUACUACUAGCGACAACAUACACAAACACCGCAGAAUUAAAUAAAUUUGCGAAAAUAUUUUGUCACAAAUAAAAAUCUAUUACAUACAACUUUUGCACAUAAAAUCAAUAUAUAUGUAUGUAUUUAUAUUUAGAAGAAUUCCAACGCAAAAAUUGAAAUUUUAUAAUAAUGUCUUAAUAUUCAGGUGUUUAUUUCAUAUUUGUCUAAACUUAUUUCGCAGUUAUCACUGAUAACUUCAUGAAUCAGCAUGAACUGUGAGGAACGAACAAAUAGGUGAUGAAAUGUGGGGAAUAUAAUUUGGGGGAAUAAAGAGUGCAGAUUGGCGUGUGGGGGACGAAGUGUAAGAACAUUUAAAACAA